rnacentral:lncRNA from 1 species
AGACUCGGACUCAACACCCUGAUACUCUUUUGUCCAUGAAGACGGAUCGUCCCCAGCGCUGCUUGGUUCCUAGGGUCAUGGUGAAGACCAGUGAGCUUGUCUGCAUGUGGGAAAUCACUUUCUACCGUGUGUUCCCGUACCUGUGUGUCUGUGACGAGUUUACGGUCAUUCCUAGGGAUAUCUGAAUGCUGAAUGCAACAGGUUACUACUAAUUGGGUCAGGGGCGAUGUUUCUCAUCUCCUUGCCUCGACUCUCUUUCAUUCAAGCUGCCCUGCAGCAUCUGGCUCUAGGUGGAAUCUGACUGUUCUUGCAGAGAUGAGAUACUCAGGUUCUCCUCGCCCAGAACCACUCAGUGAACACCUUCCUUCUGGCUGCAAGUCUUUACUUUGGGUGCCACAGGGUGAGGCAUAUCAGACAACAAUGCUGUCUUCCUACAGCAUGCAGGUUGAAAGUGGGAACACUGUUUCUGGGGGCCCCUUAGACAAGGAUUAUUUCCCACAACUUGCACCUCACAAGUUGGUCAACCUGAACUUGAACUCCAAUCUCUUGGACCCACACACCAUUGGUUUCCGGUGACUUCAAAAUCAUUAACUGUGAGACACUGUAAUGCUCACUGGUCACGGUGUACAAGGGCAGGUUUCUAGAGAAAUCCCGGAGAAAGAAAACCAGAAGAUACAAGGCUGAGUAUACAGCCCCCUAAAACAAUGAGAAUUACCCACAAAACCAUGGGCGCUGAGGGCUAUGAUCAUCGCAGGUCCGGAGAUGAGCAGAGUGACUCGCCCUGCUCUUUCAGCCUGCAUCUUCAGUGAGUGCCCCGCCCACGGAAGGGGCCCGGAGCAUGCUGGGAAAAAAAAAAAAAAAAAAAACGCUCCCACCUGAGCUGCACAAAAGACCUCAGGAGUGGAGGAAGCUGGCUUGAGGCCAGAUGGAGGCAUCCAAGCUGCUGGGCCGAGCAGGGAGGUCUGGUGGUGGAGCCUCCUGAUCUCAUAUCCUCCGUAAUCCAAAGGCAAACAGCCCUGGAGGUUUUUCAAGAACAGAGUUAAGGGUGGCAGCGACCGUGAGGCCUCCUGAUUGCUUUAAUCUGCCUUAUGAAUGAACGCAGACCUAGAGAAAUUCACACGGUAAAUAAAGCCAAUGUCUCAAUG